CGUAGGAGUCCGGGCAAAGUCUUCCUGCAAUCAAGGUUAAAGGCGAAGUCUGGCUCCCGUAGGAGUCCGGACGAGGCUUACCAGUAGUUGACGUUGAGGACGGAGCCCGGCUCCCGUAGGAGUCCGGGCGGAGUCCACUUGCUGCUGAAGUUAUCGGCGGAGUCCGGCUCCCGUAGGAGUCCGGACGCAGUCUGUCCUACAGUCGUUGG
rnacentral:lncRNA from 1 species